GCAGUUAGCUCAGUUGGUUCAGAGCGUCUGGUUUACACCCAGAAGGUCGUGGGUUCAAAUCCCUCACUGCCC
rnacentral:tRNA from 1 species